CAUCUCAGUUCGGAUUGCAGGCUGCAACUCGCCUGCAUGAAGCUGGAAUUGCUAGUAAUCGCGGAUCAGCAAGCCGCGGUGAAUACGUUCCCGGGCCUUGUACACACCGCCCGUCACACCAUGAGAGUCGGGAACACCCGAAGUCCGUAGUCUAACCGCAAGGGGGCGCGGCCGAAGGUGGGUCCGGUAAUUGGGGUGAAGUCGUAACAAGGUAUC
rnacentral:rRNA from 1 species